AUGACACAGAACUAACACGUGUAAAAGUGUUGCCAACUGGUUUGCUCUUUUUGUACCAAUUCUCUUCUCUCCCCCAUUUCCCUUCCAAGUUCAUCCUCUCUUUCUCCUUCCAAUUUCUUCUCUUUCGCUAUUUUUUCUUCAAAUCAAUCUGCUUUAACCUUUCAUGGCGGAUACUUCCGUUAGUUCACAAUCAUAUGAAGUUACUGGACCCGAUCUUUCUUCUUUUCUUCAACAGGAUCAUGAAAUUUGCAGCCUAGAAUUCUUGGAAAAGGAAUAUAUGUCUACUGAAUGGACUGAUGAAAAGCAUAGUUUAUUUCUGAAGUCUAUUGAAACUUCAUUUGUACAUCAACUUUAUAGAUCAAUAAAUUCCAGUGGUUUGCACUCACAGUCACAGAGUAAACUUUCUUCACACAUGAGAUCAUCCAAGCAUAAAACAUCUCGUGCAGCUGAUCAGAGAAUGAAAUUAGAAAGAGGUGAGCCGCCCCCUCCGAAACCAGGAAAAUCUUGCAUCAUGUUGCAGAAUCCAUGGAAUCAUCAUUUUAAAAGCAAAGACGAUCUACCUAUUCCAGCAAGUUCUUCGUUUGGGAGUGAGCCAAUGAGCUUUGUGCAUACAUUGUCAAAUACAUCAGACAAUUUUCGUCUUUGUCAAACUACCAGAGACUCGAGCAUUGAAGACAAUUGGCUUGGAGGGAUAUGAUAUAUCCUUACAUAGAAGUUCAAUCUAUUGCAUGCUAUGCUGCCAUGCUGAUGCACUAGUUCAUAUGGCAAAACUGAAUGUGGACGGUUCGGAUGGCUAUUUCGUGAAUAAUGAUUCUGUACCUCUGGCCCACUUAAUAGAACACUCCGGCCAGAAUUUUGAUGAAGAAGAUGAUGAUGAGACGUUAUGCUGCAUGCACACAACUAAACGGAUGAAGAUAGUUGAAGCAGCGUCCAAAAACCAGGAGUAAAGAGCUCGGUGUUGUAUUGCUAGCUAAAACUGAGCUCACUUCCUGGUUGUUCAAUACGUGGAAUUUCUUUUCUCGGACAUUCUUCAGUGAAUGUGAGGUUUGUGAAUGAUAUACGUGCAAUCAGCAUGACUGAAUCUGACUAGCUGGUGCUAUCUAUUCAUUGAUUAGUUCAUUUUGUAAUCUCUUAUGGUGAUGAUUCUUAUAUCGAGAAAUAGUAGAAAAUAUUAGAUCAAGUGCUCUUUAGUCUGUAGUUAUACCGAGGUCUAUUAGUUAUGUAGUAAAACUAGCCGAUGGUGCUUAGUAUUGUUAUUAGUGACACCUGAUUAUAUAGCCGUUUCUGGGUUUCAUGAUCUGUGGUCGUUAUGUAGCCUGUUUUUUUGUACAAAUUAAGCUCAUAUGUUUAUGGGUAGCUGAGAUUGAUGGGAA